rnacentral:tRNA from 1 species
GUAAGUUUAGUUUAAGUAAAACCUUAGAUCGUGACUCUAACAUCAGAUGUUAAAAUCAUCUAACUUGCC